UACUCCCUUUAUAUAUCACCUGCCUCUCCUUUGCGUUGUCAACAUCAUCUUCUCCAUCUUCAAUUUUUAAACCUAAAACCCAAAUUCCACCAUGGUGAUUUGCAGAUGUGGGUUUCAAACAGUGAUUCGAACCUCCCAUACUGAUGCGAACCCUGGAAGACAAUUCCACUGCUGCCCACGUCAGGGUACAAGAGGUUGUGGUUUUGUUGCUUGGGUGAUCCCCCCCAUUUGUCCGAUGUGUUCUGAACUAUUGGCAAAGUUAGACAGAACAACAAGCAUGAAUGAAGAUGUUGGAAGGAAGCUGUUUGCUGAAAAAAAAAAGACUGAAAGCUC